GAUGAACGCUGGCGGCGUGCCUAAUACAUGCGAGUCGAGCGAACAGACGAGGAGCUUGCUCCUCUGACGUUAGCGGCGGACAGGUGAGUAACACGUGGAUAACCUACCUAUAAGACUGGGAUAACUUCGGGAAACCGGAGCUAAUACCGGAUAAUAUAUUGAACCGCAUGGUUCAAUAGUGAAAGACGGUUUUGCUGUCACUUAUAGAUGGAUCCGCGCCGCAUUAGCUAGUUGGUAAGGUAACGGCUUACCAAGGCAACGAUGCGUAGCCGACCUGAGAGGGUGAUCGGCCACACUGGAACUGAGACACGGUCCAGACUCCUACGGGAGGCAGCAGUAGGGAAUCUUCCGCAAUGGGCGAAAGCCUGACGGAGCAACGCCGCGUGAGUGAUGAAGGUCUUCGGAUCGUAAAACUCUGUUAUUAGGGAAGAACAAAUGUGUAAGUAACUAUGCACGUCUUGACGGUACCUAAUCAGAAAGCCACGGCUAACUACGUG
rnacentral:rRNA from 1 species